UACGUAGGGUGCAAGCGUUAAUCGGAAUUACUGGGCGUAAAGCGUGCGCAGGCGGUUUUGUAAGUCAGAUGUGAAAUCCCCGGGCUUAACCUGGGAACUGCGUUUGAAACUACAAGGCUAGAGUGUAGCAGAGGGGGGUGGAAUUCCACGUGUAGCAGUGAAAUGCGUAGAGAUGUGGAGGAACACCGAUGGCGAAGGCAGCCCCCUGGGUUAACACUGACGCUCAGGCACGAAAGCGUGGGGAGCAAACAGGAUUAGAAACCCUAGUAGUCC
rnacentral:rRNA from 1 species